AAAGUCGAUCCGGAUGAUCGGCAGGAUCGAGUGGACCUGUGGGACCGAGCUGCCAGCUGCUCUGUGGUUUCCACUGGGUGAUCACUGGAGGAGGGGGGGCAAAGCAUAAAAAAAAAAAAAUCGGAAUUUAAGAAUUGUGGUAUUGACCAGAGAGGAAAGGAGGAAGAGGUCUGCAAGGAGGAUCCAAUUGAUCAAUCUUCCAGAUUACGCACGGUGAAUGUUGGCCGGUGUCUGGGUCUGCACAGGAGCGACACAAUCAGAUACAAUCAGAAGGAACAGUAACCAAGCAGCAUGGAGCUGAUGAAAAUUGUGUUAUCCCUUCCCAUUCUUCUCUCUCCUGCAUGGACCAUAUCCCGUCACUCCUACCUGGACAGCAUCCUCCCCCCUCAUCCAGCAAAGCAGAGGAGCCUCCUCCCAGCCUUCAGGUUCUUGGAUGAGGCAUUGAGGUUUGAUCCCUGUUGUCUUAUGUCACCUCCUCCACCUCCGCUAUUUCCUCCUCCCCCUCGGCUUUGGAAGAGAGGCACACCUGGUGAAAUGGAUGAAACGCUAAGCUUAUUGCAAACAAACGUUUUUGGAGGCGAAGUGUUGGAUAAGAAACAGCCCGUCACUCCAACAUGUUCACCAGGGCCUCCUGGUCCUCCAGGACCACAAGGUCAUCCGG